rnacentral:rRNA from 1 species
CAAUAGCGUAUAUUAAAGUUGUUGCAGUUAAAAAGCUCGUAGUUGGAUUUGUGGCGUACGGUGUGUUCCGGGCACUUGUUGUCUGAGUAACCUGCUGUUGCCAUCCUUGGGUGGAACCUGUGUGGCAUUAGGUUGUCGUGCAGGGGAUGCCCAUCAUUUACUGUGAAAAAAUUAGAGUGUUCAAAGCAGGCUUAUGCCGUUGAAUAUAUUAGCAUGGAGUAAUGAGAUAGGACUUUUUUGCUAUUUUGUUGGUUUGCGCAAGAAGGUAAUGAUUAAUAGGGACAGUUGGGGGUAUUCGUAUUCCAUUGUCAGAGGUGAAAUUCUUGGAUUUUUGGAAGACGAACUACUGCGAAAGCAUUUACCAAGGAUGUUUUCAUUAA